rnacentral:misc_RNA from 1 species
UUGGAUCAUUAACAAUUUUAGCAGAAGCUGUCCUUGGAUGGCAUCUGUGAAAAAUCAUACACCUUUUGUGCACUGUGUGUCUCUGGCGGCCGGAACAAAGCAUGCAUUUGCAAGAAUGUGACUCUGCUCUGUCAGCUUGGUUCACUUGUGGGCCAGGCCGUGGACAAACCGCCAACCACUUUGUUUAACUCAUUGAAUUACUCUUUUGUCUAACAAAUUACUUUGUAUAAAUAUACAAUAAAACUUUUGGCAACGGAUCUCUUGGCUCUC